ACAUGCUUACAACAUAGCGUUAAUGCAUCGAGUCCCAUUAGAACUUUGUAGUUAAGUGUGCUCAAGCUAGAGUAGUACUGGGAUGGGUGACCACUCGGGAAGUCCUAGUAUUUUACAUGCU
rnacentral:rRNA from 1 species